rnacentral:rRNA from 1 species
GACGUAGGGCGCGAGCGUUGUCCGGAAUUAUUGGGCGUAAAGGGUGCGUAGGUGGCGCCGUAAGUCGGGUGUGAAAUUUCGGAGCUUAACUCCGAAACUGCAUUCGAUACUGCGGUGCUUGAGGACUGGAGAGGAGACUGGAAUUCAUGGUGUAGCAGUGAAAUGCGUAGAGAUCAUGAGGAAGACCAGUGGCGAAGGCGGGUCUCUGGACAGUUCCUGACACUGAGGCACGAAGGCCAGGGGAGCAAACGGG